GAGCAAUCCCAUGAGUAAAGUGGCGACCGGGUGAGUAACACGUGACUAACCUACCCUACAGUGGGGGAUAACCUCGGGAAACCGGGGCUAAUACCGCAUAACAUCGCAAGAUCAAAGAAGCAAUUCGCUGAAGGAGGGGGUCGCGGCUGAUUAGUUAGUUGGUGAGGUAACGGUCCACCAAGACGAAGAUCAGUAGCCGGCCUGAGAGGGCGCACGGCCACACUGGAACUGAAACACGGUCCAGACUCUUACGGGAGGCAGCAGUGGGGAAUUUUGCGCAAUGGGGGAAACCCUGACGCAGCAACGCCGCGUGGAGGAUGAAGUCCCUUGGGAUGUAAA
rnacentral:rRNA from 1 species